rfam:Daucus carota subsp. sativus cultivar DH1 chromosome 7, whole genome shotgun sequence.
GGGAUGUGAUGAGUGGUCAGAAUAGUGCAUAUUUUGCAUUAUGGGUGCUUAGCCCAAAGCCUGUUACGACAAUAUAGGCACUCUCAUAUUGAACCAAUCUGAUCCC